GACAGAGGUGCCAAGCGUUAGGCGGAAUCACUGGGCUUAAAGCGUGUGUAGGUGGAUUUGUAAGUACCUUGUGAAAUCCCAUGGCUCAACCAUGGAACUGCUCGGUAUACUGCGAAUCUUGAGCCACUUAGGGGCUACCGGAACAAAUGGUGGAGCGGUGAAAUGCGUAGAUAUCAUUUGGAACGCCAAUGGUGAAAACAGGUAGCUGGGAGUGUGCUGACACUGAGACACGAAAGCCAGGGAGCGAACGGG
rnacentral:rRNA from 1 species